ACUUAAGUGAAGAAAUUAACCAAUCAAAAUCUCUUAUUAACAAAUUCAAUGUAAGUUCAGAAAGAUUAAAAAUAAUGUUUGAAAGCCAAUGUGUUGCUUAUGAUAAAUCAAAAUUUGGCUUGACUCCUUUACUUAAUAAUAAAUCUCUAGAGAAAAAGGUUAUCAAUUCACCAAGCAAACCAUUAAAUAAGAUAACUUAUUUCAAGCAUAAAAAGAAUGGGCAUAACAACUUUACCUAUCGUUCUAACAUAAUUAAAUCAAGUGGUAAAGUUAUUACAAUUAAACAAAUCUGGGUUCCAAAAGGAACCAUAUGUCCUAACUCUCAAGGACCCAAGCAAGCUUGGAUACCCAAAAUGAAAAUAUGAG
rnacentral:lncRNA from 1 species